UACGGAGGGGACUAGCGUUGUUCGGAAUUACUGGGCGUAAAGCGCACGUAGGCGGAUUUGUAAGUCAGGGGUGAAAUCCCGGGGCUCAACCUCGGAACUGCCUUUGAUACUGCAAAUCUCGAGUCCGGAAGAGGUGAGUGGAAUUCCUAGUGUAGAGGUGAAAUUCGUAGAUAUUAGGAAGAACACCAGUGGCGAAGGCGGCUCACUGGUCCGGUAUGACGCUGAGGUGCGAAAGCGUGGGGAGCAAACAGGG
rnacentral:rRNA from 1 species